UGCGGAUCAGCACCCAGUAGCUGGUAUACAUCCCAACUGAUUGCGAAGCUUACAAUUAUAUUUCUAGGAGCCAAAACCUUUAAUACUGACACUCAAGCGUUGGAGUAUGAGACUUGGGAUGUGAUAACCGGGGCUUGGGGACUGAAAAGGAUUUGAAGAGAGGUGGAAACAACAAGAGACCUGAUAUAUACAGAGUUGGGGCAGAGUAUAAUCAGCGAUAUCUCUGGUAUCUCUUCAAGCUGGCUUCAGAUGUUGAUCUUCUGUGUAUGCGGACGAACACUCGAAGGUGGAAGCAUUCAGGUAAGGUGUUCUAACUUGAGUGGGAACACAAUUUGCACAGACUGCCGAUCGUGCCUGCCGUGUAUCCACUGGAUGCUACCGUUGAAAAAGCAGGAAAAGAUAAAAACUACUCGCAAAGUAAAUUAAUAAGGCGAUGAGUACUAGUAGGGAAGGCAAGGACUUGUGAAGUGUGACGAUAAAGUUUCAAGUCUGUCGAAGGUCAAAGGAUUUGGUAAUAUAAUGAAUGUGUAUAUCAGCUGGUAUUCGGGGACGGGGUGCAGGGAACAGAGUUGAGUAGAUGUAGAAGUAAGGAGAAGUCGCCAAGAUAGUAUUGUGGCAGGGAAAAGCAGGGAACUGAUUAUGUAUAAGGCGGGGUUGUG
rnacentral:sRNA from 1 species